CCGCGGGGUCGCACGGCGGCGUGAGGGGCGGUCGCCAUCUUGGGGCGGGGGUGCACGGUACGGGGUGCUGAGGUCGGCGGCAGCCCUUCCGUGCUAGACCUCCGCGAGGGCGGCCGACCAGAGUGGUUUCAAACACAGAGAACUGGGCUCUGAUCACGGGAACGUACAGACUCAUGCCACCUCGAGCCCUAUUCUUUAGCCAGGUGUCAGGCACACGAGUACUGCUGUGCUGUGGGCCCAGCCCGUAACGGUUCUGACGAGCAGUGGAUCUCCGUUGGGUGGGGCUCCGGGGGCUGCAGCCACCCAGCUCAGUAACUUCAUUUAAAAGCAGUAUAAACCGACGUGCUUUCCUGAUUAAAGACAAGCGGAGUUCUUCAGCACAAAAAUAAAACUGUUUUGUGGAAGCAGAAAUGCUUGGUAGUGGUAGGACUUUGUGUGCUUGCCUAACAUCCCAUUGUAAGGACAAUCGGUAUGGAAAACUGGGACUGCGAGCUCUGCAUCUCUGCCUGAUCUUGACUUGCUGGGUGAUAUGAGGAGCUGCUUCCCAGAUCCUCUUAAUUUAGUUCGAGAAGUUAGAAUUGCCUGUAAUCAUUGGUAAACUGAGAGUCUUGAAUGGAGAACAAUGACAAGCGCCUACUUAGAAGAGCUGCUGAAUUUAAGAAGUCAAGUUACUGCUGAGAGAAUACCGUCCCUGGAGAAUUCUGAUUGUGUUGUUGGCUUGUGGCAGUGCUGAACUAAGAAACAGCUGAGCUGAAAUUCCCAGACUAAAAGAUGUGAUGGCUACUAGUAAUCUUGUCAUCAUUUAAAAAAUGUUAGAAGAACCGUGAGCGUUUCUCUUGCUCCCACCUGUGCUUUGGGAUGUGAAAGAAUAACAUUAGCAGAUUGAGGCCUCAACUUCCUCUUGGAUGCAUCUGGACCAUUUCAUUAGGCAGUUCGCUGAGCCUGUGAUCAGUCUGAGUGCAGCUGAUGAUGAGCAGCGCCAAGAUACAGUACUGGGCUGCUGAUCAAAUUGGUGUCUUUCAGAAGACUUGAAAAAUUAGAUGAUUGAAGCAUCACUCUUGUAAGCCACAGCCUCACCGUGAGGAUGUUAGGGCAGCCACAGCUGUACGGGGUACCUUCACCAGCAAUCUUUCACACUCUGACAAAACUAUUAUUCCUGAAGGUAACUGCGGGUGGUCUUCCUUUGUCUGAUUUCUAGAAAUUCGGUACAUCACUUUCUAGUUAUGCAGCUGAUACUCAUGUUUAUAUGAAUGACUAUUUAAAAAAGGAAAGAUCAGAUGUUUGUUGUUUCAUUUCAACAUAAAUCAAACUUUGUAUUCGCAUAGCAAUUCUAGUUUAGCCCCAGGAAUAGCUUUAGUAUUGCUAAGUGUCUGGAGAGUACUGACUACAGAGACAUGGUUUUAAGCAGGCUAUAAUAGUUUCUACAGCUGUUAACAGUUCGUAGAAGAAAGGCAGCAUUAUUCAUCAGUGUUUAAAAUGUGCAUGACUUGCAUUGCACAGAAGUCAGACUGGGAGAAUGUCAGAUUUUUUUUUCUGAGAUUCUGCCAGGAAAGUCUUCAAUAACUGGAGAAAUUCUUUUCACUGGUGAAAUCAACAUGCAGCACAUUGUGUUAUUACAAUUGCUUAUAGCUCACCAUGAAAGUUGUCUUUGUAUGUGUGGAUGUACGGCUUGUACUGUUUUGUUUUUAUUUAUUCUGCAUUCUCUAUUAUAAUGUUCUUUCCUUUUUUCCAGACCAGAAAGAUUGUUAUUGAGCUUUCCACAAAGCUGAAAUAAUGCUGUGUGUUAAAAAAAUGUUAACAAUUUGAAGAAGUUAUAAAAAUUUAUAAGUUGACUGAAUACUUUGGAAAUUUCUGCAUAUUUUAAUAUAAAUAGGUAAUGCAAAUGUUUGUUCUUUGCAUUUAAAGGUGGGUCUCUGUUUUCUAAAG